rnacentral:rRNA from 1 species
UACGUAGGGGGCAAGCGUUUGUCCGGAAUCAUUGGGCGUAAAGAGCGCGUAGGCGGCCCUGUAAGUCCGCUGUGAAAGUCAAGGGCUCAACCCUUGGAUGCCGGUGGAUACUGCAGGGCUAGAGUCCGGAAGAGGCGAGUGGAAUUCCCGGUGUAGUGGUGAAAUGCGUAGAUAUCGGGAGGAACACCAGUGGCGAAGGCGACUACCUGGCCUGUUCUUGACGCUGAGGCGCGAAAGCUAGGGGAGCAAACGGGG